ACACCUCAACUCUCAUGGCUUGCCAUGAUGAGCUUGGACUAUGGGGGUCUUGCUGGCCUGUGGUCGGCUCCUCUCAAAUGGAUCAGCUUGCCAGUGUUUGGUGGCGUCACGGGUGUGAUAACUAUCUACGCUUGUGGUUUUCCACCAGGUAACCUUCAGCAAUGGAGGUUCGCUGGGGCUCAUAAACGUCUCUCCUCAGUGAGGACACAGCUCUUUGAAC
rnacentral:misc_RNA from 1 species